AACGAACGUUGGCGGCGUGGAUUAGGCAUGCAAGUCGAACGCGAAUCCCUGGGCAACUGGGGAGGAGAGUGGCGAAAGGGGCAGUAAGGCGUGGGUAACCUACCCUCCGGGCCGGGAUAGCUUCGGGAAACUGAAGGUAAUACCGGGCGACGCAGCGAGAUCGCAUGGUCUUGCUGCCAAAGGUCCGCCGCCGGGGGAGGGGCUCACGUGGUAUUAGCUAGACGGCGGGGUAACGGCCCACCGUGGCAAAGAUGCCUAGCAGGUGUGAGAGCACGACCGGCGCCACUGGCACUGAGACGGUGGCCAGACACCGACGGGUGGCGGCAGGCGAGGAUCUUCGGCAAUGGGCGCAAGCCUGACCGAGCGACGCCGCGUGUGCGAUGAAGGCCUUCGGGUUGUAAAGCACUGUCGAGGGGGAGGAAGCCGCAAGGUUGACCUAUCCCUGGAGGAAGCACGGGCUAAGUUCGUG
rnacentral:rRNA from 1 species